GAUGAACGCUGGCGGCGUGCUUAACACAUGCAAGUCGAACGAAGCACUUUAUUUGAUUUCCUUCGGGACUGAUUAUUUUGUGACUGAGUGACGGACGGGUGAGUAACGCGUGGGUAACCUGCCUUUUACAGGGGGAUAACAUUUUGAAACGGCUGCUAAUACCGCAUAUGCGCACAGCAUCGCAUGAUGCCUUGUGAAAAGCUCCGGUGGUAUACGAUGGACACGCGUUGGAUUAGCGAGUGGGUGAUGUCACAGCCCACCAAGGCUACGAUACAUAGCCGAACUGAGAGGGGGAACGGCAACAGUGGGACUGAGACACGGCCCAAACUCCGACGGGAGGCAGCAGUGGGGAAUAUUGCACAAUGGGCGAAAGACUGAUGCAGAGACGCCGCGUGAGCGAAGAAGUAUUUCGGUAUGUAAAGCUAUAUCAGAAGGGAAGAUAAUGACGGUACCUGACGAAGAAGCACCGGCUAAAUACGUG
rnacentral:rRNA from 1 species